rnacentral:rRNA from 1 species
CAUGUCUUUUUGAUAAUAAUUUAAAGUCUAAUCUGCUCAAUGAAUAUUAAAUAGCCGCAGUAUUUUGACUGUGCAAAGGUAGCAUAAUAAUUAGUUUCUUAAUUAGGAACUGGAAUGAAUGAUUGGACAAGAAAAUUUCUGUCUCUUUUUUAAAUUUUUUGAACUUUAUUUUUAAGUGAAAAAGCUUAAAUUUAUAUAAAAGACGAGAAGACCCUAUAGAGUUUAAUAUUUCAAUUUAAUUAUUUAUUAGAAAAUUUAUUUAAAUUGAAUUAUUUGGUUGGGGUGAUUGGAAGAUUAAAAAAAUUCUUUUAAAAUUUAAUUGAAAAUUUUCAAAUUAUAAAUCUGUUUUUAACAAAAUUAAAAUAAAUUACCUUAGGGAUAACAGCGUAAUUUUUCUUAAAAGUUCUUAUUUAAAGGAAAGUUUGCGACCUCGAUGUUGGAUUAAAAUUAAUUUUUGGUGCAGUAACUGAAAAAUUAGGUCUGUUCGACCUUUAAAAUUUUACAUGAUCUGAGUUUAAACCGGUGUGAGCCAGGUUGGAUUCUAUCUUUAGAAAUAUAAAAUAUUUUAGUACGAAAGGACCAAAUAUUUAUUAAAUUAAUUG